GUUGUGCAUAAGAACUGGUCUCUAAAAAAAUUGGUCCAGGACUAAAUAUCUUAUCCUUAUUUUCAACAAAUUUCUUUAUACAUUUGACAAGCGAUAUUAUGUGGCACUCCAUUCACUCCAUUGUAAGUAAAUAUUGAUAACUAAAUUAAUAAAUAAAUUGUUAAUUGGGGAGUAUACCACUCGAUGUUUCGUAUAUCCUCCUGACCUCUGAGCAUCAAGACUAUCUCGCACAACGCAAAUCCAGUUCAUGUACGUUGAAACAUAGAUUUACAAAUAGAUUAGAUUGUCA
rnacentral:lncRNA from 1 species